UUGGUAGUGAAGCAACAAAAAGACAAAGAACCCUUAGCUUCAAAAUUUUGCAAGACACAUUCUUGUUGGUUACUAAGUGAGUAGUGGUUUCUUUUUUAGAUCCAUAUAAAGAAAAGGAACAGAUUGAAACACCAAAUUUUGAAUGGUUUGGUUUAUGUCCACUACAACAAGAAGAUAAUGGAAAGAUUCAAAGAGUGACGCGUUGAAGUGAAAAAUCUAAACCCUUUGAUCUUAGAGAGUUCCAAUGGAAGAAUGAGUUCAAAUGGCAACUAACAAUCAAUAAGUUCAUCCUCUAGAUCUUGAUCUUUUCUGGUCCCAUGUUGAUAAAGCCAUUGGUGCAACAACAUCACUACAACGUCGCAGUUUUCCUAGGAUGAGUGGGAGCUACACUCGUCAAAGUAGUGUUGUAGUUGCUGCUUCAACAUCCACUACAACCACGAUAUUAGAACAAGAACAAGGAUUAGGAGAAGAGGAAGAAGCUGAAAUUGACUUUGUUGCUCCUGAUGAUCUGCAUGUUGAGGAUGAUUAUGGCCAAGCCGUACAGAUGCUGAAGCUGCUGCAACUGCAAGUGAUAUGGGUGGCAUAAAUGAGAUGAACUUAGAUAUCGAAUAGGCCUUACGGGCUUAGGGCAGGGCAAUAUGCCAUAUUUAUCAGCUAUUCAGUUUAUCAUGUAUUUGAUGGAUAUAUAUAGUUGCUUGCUACUUGCUGGACCUUAUAUUUUAUUUGCU